GGGGACGUAGGCAAACUGGUUUAAGCCGUCAGCCCUUCAAGUUGAAGAUUGCGGGUUCGAAUCCCGUCGUCCCUG
rnacentral:tRNA from 1 species